rnacentral:rRNA from 1 species
UACGGGGGGAGCAAGCGUUGUUCGGAUUUACUGGGCGUAAAGGGCGCGUAGGCGGUCAGCACAAGUCAGUUGUGAAAUCUCCGAGCUUAACUCGGAACGGUCAACUGAUACUGUGCGACUAGAGUGCGGAAGGGGCAACUGGAAUUCUCGGUGUAGCGGUGAAAUGCGUAGAUAUCGAGAGGAACACCUGCGGCGAGGGCGGGUUGCUGGGCCGACACUGACGCUGAUGCGCGAAAGCCAGGGGAGCGAACGGG